UACGUAGGGUGCGAGCGUUGUCCGGAAUUAUUGGGCGUAAAGGGCUCGUAGGCGGUCUGUUGCGUCGGGAGUGAAAACUCAGGGCUUAACCCUGAGCCUGCUUCCGAUACGGGCAGGCUCGAGUUCGGUAGGGGAGACUGGAAUUCCUGGUGUAGCGGUGAAAUGCGCAGAUAUCUGGAGGAAUACCGGUGGCGAAGGCGGCAUCCUGGACCAUUACUGACGCUGAGGCGCGAAAGCUAGGGGAGCAAACGGGG
rnacentral:rRNA from 1 species